UACAGAGGUGGCAAGCGUUGUUCGGAUUUAUUGGGCGUAAAGGGUCCGUAGGCGGCUCGGAAAGUUGGGUGUGAAAUCCUACAGCUUAACUGUAGAACUGCACUCAAAACUCCCGGGCUAGAGUGUGAGAGGGGUGAAGGGAAUUCCCGGUGUAAGGGUGAAAUCUGCAGAGAUCGGGAGGAACACCAGUCGCGAAGGCGCUUCACUGGCUCACUACUGACGCUCAGGGACGAAAGCUAGGGGAGCAAACGGG
rnacentral:rRNA from 1 species